AGAGAAUAGAUACCCCGGUAGUCCACGCUGUAAACGAUGGAUACUAGACUUGGUGGGUCUUGACCCCCGCCGAGUCGGCGCUAAACGCACUAAGUAUCCCGCCUGGGAAGUACGGUCGCAAGACUAAAACUCAAAGGAAUUGACGGGGGCCCGCACAAGCGGUGGAUCAUGUGGUUUAAUUCGAAGCAACGCGAAGAACCUUACCUAGGUUUGACAUCCUCUGACAGCUGUAGAGAUACAGUUUUCGUAGCAAUACGACAGAGAGACAGGUGCUGCAUGGCUGUCGUCAGCUCGUGUGGUGACAUGUUGGGUUAAGUCCCGCAACGAGCGCAACCCUUGUCCUUAGUUGCCAGCAUUUAGUUGGGCUCUCUAAGGAGACUGCCGUGGUUAACACGGAGGAAGGUGGGGAGUGACGUCAAGUCCUCAUGGCCUUAUACCUAGGCGACGACACGUGAUACAAU
rnacentral:rRNA from 1 species